rnacentral:rRNA from 1 species
ACUCGAGUGGCGAACGGGUGAGUAACACGUGGGUGAUCUGCCCUGCACUUCGGGAUAAGCCUGGGAAACUGGGUCUAAUACCGGAUAGGAGCCAUUUUUAGUGUGAUGGUUGGAAAGUUUUUCGGUGUAGGAUGAGCUCGCGGCCUAUCAGCUUGUUGGUGGGUAAUGGCCUACCAAGGCGGCGACGGGUAGCCGGCCUGAGAGGGUGUACGGCCACAUUGGGACUGAGAUACGGCCCAG